rnacentral:lncRNA from 1 species
CUGGGAUUCCCAUGCGCGUGGACGGUGGGUCAGAUGCUGUAGCCGCCAUCUGAAGCCGACGUGUGAAACUUCAGCUUCUUAGCAAGCUGGCACCAGGGAAAGGCAGGCUCCCAAUAGACAGCAAACACCUGAAACCGGUGAUCAGCAGCUUCCCGGUAAGAUCUCAGGAGCUGGGCGAGGGGGCUGGAGCAGGCACACUAAGAGGCAAAAUGGCAGAGUUUAACUGGUCUAUGGCCUUCAAGGGACCUGCGGCUGGUCAUGAAGAGCGCCUCAAGUGAGCACACGCACGACUGCGGCAAACGCACCACACACGCUCCCCUCCCGAGCGCCAGCAGGCCAUGGCACACGCAGACAGCCCACUCACGGGAGGAAUCUCGGGAGAAGGGAUGCGAGGCCCUGGAAGCAUGCCAACCUAUAAGAACCCAAGUCAGGCUGGGCGCGAGGGCUCAUGCCUGGAAUCCCAGCACUUUGGGAGGCCGAGGUGGGCGGAUCACGAGGUCAGGAGUUUGACACCAGUCUGGCCAACAUGGUGAAACCCUGUCUCUGCUAUAAAUACAAAAAAUAGCUGGGUGUGGUGGCGCAUGCCUGAAUCGUUUGAAUCCGGCAGGUGGAGGUUUCACUGAGCUGAGAUCCCGCCAUUGCACUCCAGCCUGGGUGACAGAACAAGACUCUGUCUCAAAAAACAAACAGCCCCAAGUCAAAGGUCAAACUGCAGACUUCUCUUUCGAGUUGCCUGCUUGGGCGUUUUCCAAGUGUACUUGCCUUCAUUUUGUUCCUGCUCUAAAG